rnacentral:tRNA from 1 species
GAGAAAUAUGUCAAAGAUAAAGCUUCUAACUUACUUCUUAAGCGGUUAAAUUCCGUUGUUUUCUCU